AUUAAAACAAAGCAUUGCGAUGGUCC
rnacentral:snRNA from 1 species